rnacentral:rRNA from 1 species
AGUUCAGAUUGCAGGCUGCAACCCGCCUGCAUGAAGUCGGAAUUGCUAGUAAUCGCGGAUCAGCAUGCCGCAGUGAAUACGUUCCCGGGCCUUGUACACACCGCCCGUCACACCAUGGGAGCCGGUAAUACCCGAAGUCAGUAGUCCAACCUCGUGAGGACGCUGCCGAAGGUAGGAUUGGCGACUGGGGUGAAGUCGUAACAAGGUAUC